rnacentral:tRNA from 1 species
GGGAGUGUAACUCAAGGGAAUAGAGUCCCGAUCUUCUAAAUCGGUUCGUGUAGGUUCGAGUCCUGCCACUCCCG